AAUUCCUUGAAGAGCUCUAACUUAUUCACUUCUAUGACCCCAACUCUGGGUACUUAGAAGGGGAUAGAAACAAUGAUAAACAAGUAGAGCCAUUUAACAAGUGAAAAGGAACAUUUAUGAAUACAUAAGUUAUCCUAAGUUGUCUAUCCCACAGGUAUUUAUAAUGUUAAAAAGUGUCUUUGCCAAUGGAACUUUAAUUAACUAGUGAGGGACUGAGCAAAAGAAAUACCACAACCAAACUUUACUUGAUUAAGUUUAGAACAAACGCUUUAUAGCAAAAGCAAAUGUAGAUCUUCUGCACUACAAAUAUUUGAAUAAGAACUGCAUAGACUUGUGUAUCUUUAUUUCCAUUGUUUCCAGUAUGCAGAACUUACUUAUGACCAUCUCUUACCAUCCUGUAAACAUCACCAUGGACUUUCUUGGCUCAUUGCUUAGGUGCCCAGUUUGUUAUGCUCUGACUCUUUGACCUGAACUGCUAUUUUGUGAUAGUCUUGAACAUCCUCCUUACCAAGGUGGCUGACUGAGAGUACUGAGUUCUCAUCCUUUUUUCACUUCUAUAUCAUAUUACAGCAUUCUAGAAAUUUCCUCCUUUAUUG
rnacentral:lncRNA from 1 species